AGAGUUUGAUCCUGGCUCAGAACGUACGCUGGCGGCACGCCUUAUACAUGCAAGUCGAACGAAGUAGCAAUACUUAGUGGCAGACGGGUGAGUAACAUGUAGGUAUCUUCCCUUUGGUGAGGAAUAACACGAGGAAACUUGUGCUAAUACCUCAUAAGUCUUUACGGAGAAAGCUUUAUGCGCCGAAGGAUGAGCCUGCACUUGAUUAGUUUGUUGGUGGGGUAAUGGCCUACCAAGACUUUGAUCUAUAGCUGAUCUGAGAGGAUGAUCAGCCACAUUGGGACUGAGACACGGCCCAAACUCCUACGGGAGGCAGCAGUAGGGAAUAUUGCACAAUGGAGGAAACUCUGAUGCAGCGAUGCCGCGUGAGUGAAGAAGGCCUUUGGGUUGUAAAGCUCUUUCGUCGGGGAAGAAAAUGACUGUACCCGAAUAAGAAGGUCCGGCUAACUUCGUGCCAGCAGCCGCGGU
rnacentral:rRNA from 1 species